rnacentral:lncRNA from 1 species
GGCACGGCUGGAAGUGUUUCACUUAUAUAGGUCAUGUGACGUUCAUUGACGGCUAUUAUUGGCAGAAACGAAAACGAGGCGAUCGGGGAAACAAACAGUACACACAAAUGACUUAGAAUGUGUGGUGCUCUCUGAAGGACAUGUAACAAUUAUAAACGAACAUAUGUCUCUCUCAAUGACGAUAUACAUCUACAGAAAUGGUGUGGAAUUUGUACAGUAUUCUUCGGGGUUUUACCUAAAACCCUUAAAACCAAAAGUAAGGAACGUAACAUUUGUCAUUGGACUGUGGCCAUGCUGGGGUACUGCCUUCAAGGUUUUAGUCAAACAAAUUGACUUCGGUACUUUUGUACUUAUUUUACUGGUCACAACAACUGAGCUUACCAAUCAUUCUUGACUUUACCUAUUUUUCUGAUACUUCUAAAAUGAAUCAAUGAUUUUUGCCUCACACACACAAACUUAAAUCAAAAUUGACUAUAUUACACUGAUCAUGAAAGAGUCAAUUGGCAACCAUAUCUGUGACAGCAACCUAUUAUAAUAGCCUUUCCAGCACUUAGUGAAUGAAACAUAACCAAUAACCAUAUUUGAAAGCAUCUUUAGAUGAUUGAAAUAUGAAGAGAGAACUGAUCAAUAUUACCAACAUUAUUAAUCUGCCUUGCAAAGAUAAAUAGAUAUACUAGCUUAUCCUUUAAGACUCAGUCCAACACUCAAUAGCUAACUAACUGAAGGUUUUUU